rnacentral:rRNA from 1 species
UGGGGAAUAUUGGACAAUGGGCGCAAGCCUGAUCCAGCCAUGCCGCGUGUGUGAAGAAGGCCUUUUGGUUGUAAAGCACUUUAAGCGAGGAGGAGGCUACUUGGAUUAAUACUCUAGGAUAGUGGACGUUACUCGCAGAAUAAGCACCGGCUAACUCUGUGCCAGCAGCCGCGGUAAUACAGAGGGUGCGAGCGUUAAUCGGAUUUACUGGGCGUAAAGCGUGCGUAGGCGGCUUCUUAAGUCGGAUGUGAAAUACCUGAGCUUAACUUAGGAAGUGCAUUCGAUACUGGGAAGCUAGAGUAUGGGAGAGGAUGGUAGGAUUCCAGGUGUAGCGAUGAAAUGCGUAGAGAUCUGGAGGAAUACCGAUGGCGAAGGCAGCCAUCUGGCCUAAUACUGACGCUGAGGUACGAAAGCAUGGGGAGCAAACAGG